CUUGAUGGAACCGAGCCACAACGGCUGCUCACCGGACCGCUCCCGGCCGUAGGUCGCCAGGAGCGCCUGUGCCUC
rnacentral:antisense_RNA from 1 species